ACAUUACCAAUCACUUUCCCAAAAACAGUUCUGCCAGGCUGUACACCAGCUAAAAAGUGAAAUAAUCCUAUUUUUCAGCCUGAAUCGAGUGCUACAUGGAUAAAAGAGUGAGUUGAUGGAGCUGGCCUUGGGCAAGCUCAUUCUUCGGCAUGUGGACAAAUGCCUGACAAGAUGAUUAUGUCAGGAAGUUGCAGGAAGGAGACAGAACAAGCAAUUUAGGCCUGGAUUCUGCUGUGCUCUUGCCAAAUGAGAUAGCCAGGGACUCAGUGAGAGGAGGUGCCAGCAGGGGGCCCUCUGGGCAGGCAGCUCCUGUACCCCUUACCCUGGGGCAGCCAGUAUGAAUGCAUGAGGCACAUGUGGGGACUCUGCUUCUGAGUUCGGAUACUGCAUGCCAUCACCAUGCCGCCCCUCAAGGCCUCUAGGCAGAGAGGUGGAGUGGAGGCUAAGUCUGUUACCCUUCAGCCACCCAGCACUGCUAUGCCAAUGGGUUUACCAUUUCAGUGCCUCCUCACUGGUCUAAGUGACAGACACUGACAUUCACACAUUCUCAGCCAGGGUGGGUGGCAUCAUGCCAUGGAUGGCACCAAAUUGGGUGUUGGGGAAGUACUGCUGUGUCCCUUCCCUCCAGCUCUCCCAGCUCAUUGGCCCCAGCUGUGCAUGUAGCAGGGGCUCAGGAAAUAGGUAUGGGAAUGAACGGAGUAAUCUGCCUCAGGAAUCUUAGAACAACACAAAAACAACCUUACCAACAGUACUUGGUCUAACACUUCAUAGUCCUCUA
rnacentral:lncRNA from 1 species